GAAAUGCGAUAAGUAAUGUGAAUUGCAGAAUUCAGUGAAUCAUCGAAUCUUUGAACGCACAUUGCGCCCGCCAGUAUUCUGGCGGGCAUGCCUGUUCGAGCGUCAUUACAACCCUCAGACCCCCGGGCCUGGCGUUGGGGAUCGGCGGAAGCCCCCUGCGGGCACAACGCCGUCCCCCAAAUACAGUGGCGGUCCCGCCGCAGCUUCCAUUGCGUAGUAGCUAACACCUCGCAACUGGAGAGCGGCGCGGCCACGCCGUAAAACACCCAACUUCUGAAUGUUGACCUCGAAUCAGGUAGGAAUACCCGCUGAACUUAAGC
rnacentral:misc_RNA from 1 species